UUGCGAUUACGGAUGGUUGCCGCUUCGGCGGAGGAAAGUCCGGACUCCACGGAGGAGGGUGCCAGAUAACGUCUGGCGGUGUCCUAGGACACUAGGGAAAGUGCCACAGAAAAUAUACCGCCUUUUGGUAAGGGUGAAAUGGCGAGGUAAGAGCUCACCGCGCUUCCGAUAACGGCAAGCGGCAGGGCAAACCCCACCCGGAGCAAGAUCAAAUAGGGGCAACUAAUAUGUCCUCCGCAUUGAGGUUUAGCGGCAAUAGUCCGCGGAACCGUAGGUUGCCCGGGUAGAUCGCUAGAUGUUUACGGUGACGUAAAUACCAGAUGAAUGACCAUCGGAGUGCGAUUGCAUUCCACAGAAUCCGGCUUAUAGUUUUCGCAGAAAC
rnacentral:RNase_P_RNA from 1 species